UGUCCAGGAUUCGAUCGCCCUACGGGCAGUGGAGAUAGGGCAGCGCUCGACCCGGUGAGGUGGUGUGUGACCUUCGCCCCUCUGCUGACCUACGGAGGAAACCAUACCUACCCAGAGAGCUGUAAGCAGCAGAGCCGCGACCACCUGUGGAGAGAAAGAAGAACGAGAAUGAACAUUAGGAGAGUGGACUGUGUGGAGUUCCAGUCGGUGGUGAAGGAGGAGAGCCUAGAGUGUCCAUUAUUUUAAGUUCCCCGUUUUCCCUUCCCUAUUUAUUUUUUAAGUAAAUUAAAUAAAGUACAUUUUUAAUUUA